AGACAGGCUCUGAAGCAAAUCCUGAAGACCAGCACAAGUUGGAUUCCCACACUGACAACACCUCCAGGAACCUUUACCUUUGAUCUGAUAAGCACCAUCAUUGAAGAUGAUAUGGAAGACAUCAUAGACAGAACGGUUGGCAUCCAACAAGUUGGAGUUGCGAUGGUAGCACACAAAGCCAUGGGUCCCACGAAGUACAAGGAUGGGCCGGUUAAUCAGCUUGAGAACAAAUUCCUCAUCCUCCCCUGCAUUCAAAGAAGUGCUGAUAUAUUUGCCAUUGCCAGCUUUGAGGGCUAUGCGGCGGCCACGCCACUCAAUGUCAAACAUAGUGCUGGCAGAUCUAGAGGACCAAGGCAGAGAAGCAUUCAAGAUGAAAUGUACUGAAGUUCAUUUGGAUAAAGCAACUUUUCUGUGCCAUCUUUACCCUCUCGGUUAAAUACAUUCCUGCUGCUUUAUUCUGAAUUUGUUCAAGUUUAACCUCCAGCCUUUGUUUUUGUUUGUUUGUUUGUUUGUUUUUGAUUAAAGUGUGCAUAAGUAUUUCCAGAUUGCCUGUUUAAAACAAAAGGCAAGCUUUGCUAUACAUUAAUGGCAAAAUAAAGGAACAACGAAAUGAAUAAUAGGAGACCUGUGAUAGGAUCACCCAUGGUUUGAAAGAAUGCUAAAUUACUCUUAGUUGAAACAGCUUCGCAGAGGGGACAAAUUAACUGAGGUUGAGGUCAUGA